rnacentral:tRNA from 1 species
GGGCUUGUAGCUCAGUGGCAGAGCACCUCCUUUGCAAGGAGCAGCGCAGGGGUUCGAGUCCCCUCAGGUCCA